rnacentral:rRNA from 2 species
GGCGGGACACGUGGUAUCCUGUCUGAAUAUGGGGGGACCAUCCUCCAAGGCUAAAUACUCCUGACUGACCGAUAGUGAACCAGUACCGUGAGGGAAAGGCGAAAAGAACCCCGGCGAGGGGAGUGAAAAAGAACCUGAAACCGUGUACGUACAAGCAGUGGGAGCACCCUUUGGGGUGUGACUGCGUACCUUUUGUAUAAUGGGUCAGCGACUUAUAUUCUGUAGCAAGGUUAACCGUAUAGGGGAGCCGGAGGGAAACCGAGUCUUAACCGGGCGUUAAGUUGCAGGGUAUAGACCCGAAACCCGGUGAUCUAGCCAUGGGCAGGUUGAAGGUUGGGUAACACUAACUGGAGGACCGAACCGACUAAUGUUGAAAAAUUAGCGGAUGACCUGUGGCUGGGGGUGAAAGGCCAAUCAAACCGGGAGAUAGCUGGUUCUCCCCGAAAGCUAUUUAGGUAGCGCCUCGUGAAUUCAUCUCCGGGGGUAGAGCACUGUUUCGGCUAGGGGGCCAUCCCGGCUUACCAACCCGAUGCAAACUGCGAAUACCGGAGAAUGUUAUCACGGGAGACACACGGCGGGUGCUAACGUCCGUCGUGAAGAGGGAAACAACCCAGACCGCCAGCUAAGGUCCCAAAGUCAUGGUUAAGUGGGAAACGAUGUGGGAAGGCCCAGACAGCCAGGAUGUUGGCUUAGAAGCAGCCAUCAUUUAAAGAAAGCGUAAUAGCUCACUGGUCGAGUCGGCCUGCGCGGAAGAUGUAACGGGGCUAAACCAUG